AACGAACGCUGGCGGCAUGCCUAACACAUGCAAGUCGAACGAGACCUUCGGGUCUAGUGGCGCACGGGUGCGUAACGCGUGGGAAUCUGCCCUUGGGUUCGGAAUAACUCAGAGGAAUUUGAGCUAAUACCGGAUGAUGACGAAAGUCCAAAGAUUUAUCGCCCAAGGAUGAGCCCGCGUAAGAUUAGCUUGUUGGUGGGGUAAUGGCCCACCAAGGCGACGAUCUUUAGCUGGUCUGAGAGGAUGAUCAGCCACACUGGGACUGAGACACGGCCCAGACUCCUACGGGAGGCAGCAGUGGGGAAUAUUGGACAAUGGGCGAAAGCCUGAUCCAGCAAUGCCGCGUGAGUGAUGAAGGCCUUAGGGUUGUAAAGCUCUUUUACCAGGGAUGAUAAUGACAGUACCUGGAGAACAAGCUCCGGCUAACUCCGUGCCAGCCGCCGCCGUAACAC
rnacentral:rRNA from 1 species